UACGUAGGGUGCGAGCGUUAAUCGGAAUUACUGGGCGUAAGGCGUGCGCAGGCGGGCUUUUAAGCCAGACGUGAAAUCCCCGGGCUUAACCUGGGAAUGGCGUUUGGGACUGGAAGUCUGGAGUACGGCAGAGGAGACUGGAAUUCCUGGUGUAGCAGUGAAAUGCGUAGAUAUCAGGAGGAACACCGAUGGCGAAGGCAGGUCUCUGGGCUGAUACUGACGCUCAUGCACGAAAGCGUGGGGAGCAAACAGG
rnacentral:rRNA from 1 species